GCGCGCUGGACGAGGUGCAUCAGGCGUUCGUGCCGCCGCGCGAGGCGGGCGUGCAGGACUGGCUGUUCGACGUGGCGGGCGCGUAC
rnacentral:tRNA from 1 species